rnacentral:piRNA from 1 species
UUCCCAGGUGGUAGAAUUAAAGG